GGACGAACGCUGGCGGCGUGCUUACCACAUGCAAGUCGAACGGUGAAGCGCUUGCCUUUUUGGUGGGUGUGGAUGAGUGGCGAACGGGUGAGUAACACGUGAGUAACCUGCCCUCUUCUUCUGGUUAACCUCAUGAAAGUGGGGCUAAUACGGGGUAUUCCGGGUCUGUCGCAUGGCGGGUUUGGGAAAGAUUGCGCCUUUGGGUGUUUUCGGUGGGGGAUGGGCUCGCGGCCUAUCAGCUUGUUGGUGGGGUGAUGGCCUACCAAGGCGGUGACGGGUAGCCGGCCUGAGAGGGUGGACGGCCACACUGGGACUGAGACACGGCCCAGACUCCUGCGGGAGGCAGCAGUGGGGAAUAUUGCACAAUGGGCGCAAGCCUGAUGCAGCGACGCCGCGUGAGGGAUGGAGGCCUUCGGGUUGUGAACCUCUUUCGCCAGUGAAGCAGGCCUGCUCCUGUGUGGGUGGGUUGACGGUAGCUGGAGAAGAAGCGCCGGCUAACUACGUG
rnacentral:rRNA from 1 species